rnacentral:rRNA from 1 species
GUGGGGAAUAUUGGACAAUGGGGGCAACCCUGAUCCAGCCAUGCCGCGUGAAUGAUGAAGGCCUUCGGGUUGUAAAGUUCUUUUGGAGGGGACGAUGAUGACGGUACCCUCAGAAUAAGCUCCGGCUAACUUCGUGCCAGCAGCCGCGGUAAUACGAAGGGAGCUAGCGUUGUUCGGAAUUACUGGGCGUAAAGGGCGCGUAGGCGGUUUGGUUAGUCAGAUGUGAAAGCCCAGGGCUUAACCCUGGAUCUGCGUUUGAUACUGCCAAGCUUGAAUUCGGGAGAGGUGAGUGGAAUUCCCAGUGUAGAGGUGAAAUUCGUAGAUAUUGGGAAGAACACCGGUGGCGAAGGCGGCUCACUGGACCGACAUUGACGCUGAGGCGCGAAAGCGUGGGGAGCAAACAGGAUUAGAAACCCGGGUAGUCC